rnacentral:lncRNA from 1 species
GGACAGCCUCAACAUCCGUGUUUCCUUUUUUGCACAAGAAAACAAAACAAAACAAAACAAAAAAGCACCCACUCCCAAUUCGUUCAAGUAGGAGAAGCUUGGAACUGCACAAAACUUGCCUUUCUGAGGCUCACACAGACUAUAAAUGUGAGAAGCCAUCAGAAGCUAACAACAGCAGGAAAUGUCAAGGACAGAUUACAUUGCAUUGUCAAUACUAGAAAAUGUUCUAGACUGCAAGGAAGACAAAGCAGUAAGUCUGUGCAGGGAACUGCUGCACUGCUCAGAACCAGAACAGUCGUAAGGAUUUAUGCGCUAGAUGAGGAACUGGAGACGAGGAUGCACAGAGAGGAGGAACGGGAGAAUGAAACAAGUGUCUACGGAAAGACGGUCGGCAGAGAACAGGCGAGGGUGCAUGGGCACCUCGGAGGGCAGCCAGAACCAAGGGGCUGAGACAAACAGGGAGGAAAGACUGAGGACUGGGAUUUGGAUGUUGUCAGCUUUGAUAAACACCUGGAUAUUAAUGAGAGACUACGGGUAUCGAGAUAUCAAGAGUAGGAAUUAAAUCAUACUCCCAAUA